rnacentral:rRNA from 1 species
CUACGGGUCGCAGCAGUGGGGAAUAUUGGGCAAUGGGCGCAAGCCUGACCCAGCAACGCCGCGUGAGGGAAGAAUGUCUUCGGAUUGUAAACCUCUGUCCUUGGGGACGAAAAAAAUGACGGUACCCAAGGAGGAAGCUCCGGCUAACUACGUGCCAGCAGCCGCGGUAAUACGUAGGGAGCAAGCGUUGUCCGGAAUUAUUGGGCGUAAAGGGUGCGUAGGCGGCGCUGUAAGUCAGAUGUGAAAUCCCCGGGCUUAACUCGGGAGUUGCAUUUGAAACUACAGUGCUUGAGUAAAGAAGGGGUAAGUGGAAUUCCUAGUGUAGCGGUGGAAUGCGUAGAUAUUAGGAGGAACACCAGUGGCGAAGGCGACUUACUGAUCUUUUACUGACGCUGAGGCACGAAAGCGUGGGGAGCAAACAGGAUUAGAUACCCGCGUAGUC